UUCUCCUCCCAACACAGGAGCAUCACCUGAUAGAGAGAGAGGGAGAUCUGUGUGUCACAAUGGGAGCUAUUAUAACAUUCAUAGUGUUGCUGGGAACUUUAUUUUAUGGUCACUGUGUUGAACUCACACAGCCAGGAUCCAUGGUUUUAACACCAGGGCAGUCUCUGACCAUCUCCUGUAAAGUCUCUGGGUAUUC